rnacentral:rRNA from 1 species
ACCCGCUGAACUUAAGCAUAUCAAUAAGCGGAGGAAAAGAAACCAACAGGGAUUGCCCUAGUAACGGCGAGUGAAGCGGCAACAGCUCAAAUUUGAAAUCUGGCUUUCGGGCCCGAGUUGUAAUUUGUAGAGGAUACUUUUGAUGCGGUGCCUUCCGAGUUCCCUGGAACGGGACGCCAUAGAGGGUGAGAGCCCCGUCUGGUUGGAUGCCAAAUCUCUGUAAAGUUCCUUCGACGAGUCGAGUAGUUUGGGAAUGCUGCUCUAAAUGGGAGGUAUAUGUCUUCUAAAGCUAAAUAUUGGCCAGAGACCGAUAGCGCACAAGUAGAGUGAUCGAAAGAUGAAAAGCACUUUGGAAAGAGAGUCAAACAGCACGUGAAAUUGUUGAAAGGGAAGCGCUUGCAGCCAGACUUGCUUACAGUUGCUCAUCCGGGCUUUUGCCCGGUGCACUCUUCUGUAGGCAGGCCAGCAUCAGUUUGGGCGGUAGGAUAAAGGUCUCUGUCACGUACCUCUCUUCGGGGAGGCCUUAUAGGGGAGACGACAUACUACCAGCCUGGACUGAGGUCCGCGCAUCUGCUAGGAUGCUGGCGUAAUGGCUGU